UACGUAGGGUGCAAGCGUUGCCCGGAUUUAUUGGGCGUAAAGGGCGCGUAGGCGGCUCGGCACGUCCGUUGUGAAAUCGCCCGGCUCAACUGGGCGGGGUCAGCGGAUACGGUGUGGCUAGAGCAAGCUAGGGGGCAAUGGAAUUCCCGGUGUAGUGGUGGAAUGCGUAGAUAUCGGGAGGAACACCAGUGGCGAAGGCGGUUGCCUGGAGCUUUGCUGACGCUGAUGCGCGAAAGCGUGGGGAGCGAUCCGG
rnacentral:rRNA from 1 species